AGGGCCCCCAGGGGCCACAAGGCCCCAAUGGUUUCCCGGGCCCAAAGGGGCCACUGGGCCCUGUCGGGAAGGACGGGUUGCCCGGACACCCAGGACAGCGUGGGGAGCCGGGAUACCAUGGCAAGAACGGCCCCCCUGGCCCCACAGGGGUGGUGGGACCCCAGGGUAACUCGGGCGAGACGGGCCCCA